AGAGUUUGAUCCUGGCUCAGGACGAACGCUGGCGGCGUGCUUAACACAUGCAAGUCGAGCGGAGACAUGUAACGGAAGGCUUCGGCCGGAAGAUAUAUGUUUUAGCGGCGGACGGGUGAGUAACGCGUGAGCAACCUGUCCUUCACAGGGGGAUAAGAUACCGAAAGGUGUUCUAAUACCGCAUAAGACCACAACGUCACAUGGCGAAGGGGUCAAAGGAGCAAUCCGGUGAAGGGUGGGCUCGCGUCCGAUUAGAUAGUUGGUGAGGUAACGGCCCACCAAGUCGACGAUCGGUAGCCGACCUGAGAGGGUGAUCGGCCACAUUGGGACUGAGACACGGCCCAGACUCCUACGGGAGGCAGCAGUGGGGAAUAUUGGGCAAUGGGGGAAACCCUGACCCAGCAACGCCGCGUGGAGGAAGAAGGUCUUCGGAUCGUAAACUCCUGUCCUAAGAGACGAGCAGGAGACGGUAUCUUAGGAGGAAGCCCCGGCUAACUACGUGCCAGCAGCCGCGGUAAUACGUAGGGGGCAAGCGUUGUCCGGAAUGAUUGGGCGUAAAGGGCGCGUAGGCGGCCUUUCAAGUCUGAAGUGAAAUUCCCGUUUUUAAGAUGGGAACUGCUUUGGAAACUGUAAGGCUUGAGUGCAGGAGAGGUCAGUGGAAUUCCCAGUGUAGCGGUGAAAUGCGUAGAGAUUGGGAGGAACACCAGUGGCGAAGGCGACUGACUGGACUGUAACUGACGCUGAGGCGCGAAAGUGUGGGGAGCAAACAGGAUUAGAUACCCUGGUAGUCCACACUGUAAACGAUGA
rnacentral:rRNA from 1 species